GGCCGAGUGGCGCAACUGAAUAGCGCACUUGAUUACGGCUCAAGAGGUUACAGGUUUGAAUCCUGUCUCGGUCACAA
rnacentral:tRNA from 5 species